UUAUCGAUGAUCACGGAAGGGGUUAGCUAGUUACAGGAGGAUUAGUGCGUGUCAAAAAUU
rnacentral:misc_RNA from 1 species